CCUACGGGGGGCAGCAGUGGGGGAUAUUGGUCAAUGGGGGAAACCCUGAACCAGCAAUGCCGCGUGAGGGAAGAAGGUCUUCGGAUUGUAAACCUAAGUAGUCAGGGACGAAAGAAAUGACGGUACCUGAAGAGUAAGCUCCGGCUAACUACGUGCCAGCAGCCGCGGUAAUACGUAGGGAGCGAGCGUUGUCCGGAUUUACUGGGUGUAAAGGGUGCGUAGGCGGGUCGACAAGUCAGAUGUGAAAUACCGGGGCUUAACUCCGGGGCUGCAUUUGAAACUGUAGAUCUUGAGUGAAGUAGAGGCAGGCGGAAUUCCUAGUGUAGCGGUGAAAUGCGUAGAUAUUAGGAGGAACACCAGUGGCGAAGGCGGCCUGCUGGGCUUUAACUGACGCUGAGGCACGAAAGCAUGGGGAGCAAACAGGAUUAGAUACCCCG
rnacentral:rRNA from 1 species